rnacentral:rRNA from 1 species
GAUGAACGCUGGCGGCGUGCCUAAUACAUGCAAGUCGAGCGAACGGACGAGAAGCUUGCUUCUCUGAUGUUAGCGGCGGACGGGUGAGUAACACGUGGAUAACCUACCUAUAAGACUGGGAUAACUUCGGGAAACCGGAGCUAAUACCGGAUAAUAUUUUGAACCGCAUGGUUCAAAAGUGAAAGACGGUCUUGCUGUCACUUAUAGAUGGUUCCGCGCUGCAUUAGCUAGUUGGUAAGGUAACGGCUUACCAAGGCAACGAUGCAUAGCCGACCUGAGAGGGUGAUCGGCCACACUGGAACUGAGACACGGUCCAGACUCCUACGGGAGGCAGCAGUAGGGAAUCUUCCGCAAUGGUCGAAAGCCUGACGGAGCAACGCCGCGUGAGUGAUGAAGGUCUUCGGAUCGUAAAACUCUGUUAUUAGGGAAGAACAUAUGUGUAAGUAACUGUGCACAUCUUGACGGUACCUAAUCAGAAAGCCACGGCUAACUACGUG